rnacentral:miRNA from 1 species
UUGUUGACGUAACACCAUUGCC